UACAGAGUUUUCAGAACCGUUCAGCAGUAAUCAAUAAUGGUCCAGGGUUCCUGCAUGGCAACGAUGGGGUACAGCUCACUCCAGUCUUCAUGUACCACCUCCUCUUUGUACAUUCUCAGCACUCGCUUUAUUCACUGUGUCCCUGCUCGCCCCAUGAGCAUCUGCUCUUACUGCUAAAUAUGAGAUGACCUCUGGAGACCCUCAUUCCAUGAGUAAAGCAAGGUGUCAUGAGUUUCAGAGAAGACUUGGAGGAGAGGACAAUGUUCUGAGCAAAAGAUGACGCUGUAUUGCUCCAGGAAAUCUCAAGGAAUUGCUCCUCUUCUUCACUAGGCCUGGAGUUGAAGUAUCAAGACGUCCCUACUUUUGUGAGGGUCCCACGACACGGUUAAAUCUGAAAAGGCAACGGCCUGGCUGUGAAAAUUGCGAAAUGUUCUUCCGUUGGGGUUGCUAGCUGAUUCUCUAAGUAAUUUGCAAUUCAAGUGUCUCUUUGUUUUGUAUGAAAAUUUGCUGCUAUUUGGAAAGUGGGGAAGAGCUAAAUUGCAUCCUGCUGGUUUUACUUUGACUGUAUCAAAAAAGAAACUGUUAAUCUGGUUCCAUAAUUAACUUGCCUGUUCUAAAAAGGCCCUGGGAGAGAGUCCAGAGAGCGGCUGUCAAGUCCCUGCUGCUCUACUCAAUAACUCCUUUCAAUAGGAUGCCCUGGAAGAAGAACGGUUUCAGCACACAAUGCAAGAUUAUCCAGCCAUGAAGAAGAAUAAAAUCCUUGAAUCUGCAGCAAAACUGAUUAAACUGGAAGUCAUUACAUUUAGUGAGACAAGCUAGAAACAUAAAGAAAUCAUGGGUACACUAUCAGGAAUGGCUCCAUGCUGGAAUUUACCACAGUGAUGAGAAAGGGCCAUGUGAAAAGGACUAUGACAGGAUUCCUCUAAAGAAAUGUAUUCCUGGGCAAUCAAAUACUCAAGGAUGAUGAGAGGGAGCUCUGCUUCAUAAAAGGAUGUCAGCUGAUACACAUAGCGUGAGUGACAAAAUUAGGAAAAGCACUUCAUAAAAUGCAAACUGUAAUGUAAUUGAUCCUGGCACUAGUUUUCACUUGGUAUAAAACUAUUAGAUAAAUAAAAAUAUAAGCCUAUAAUGAAUACAACCCAAGUGAGAUCUCAUUUCUCCUCUGGUCAAAACUCACUGUUGGCCUACAUUUCACUCUGAGUGAAUUAAGCAGCUUUCUAUCACCAUAGCAAAAUA